GAGGAUUUCUAUCACGGGAGUGAAUUGGUCUGUUGUUGAACCUGUUGUCUAAGGAUAGCUUGAUUGCGCUUGUUAACCAUUCGAAUAGGCUAGGACACCACUCUACUCGAUUACCCCAUCCUUAGGAAUUUCUCGUCUAUCUUAUUUCUCUGUUUUAUCGUUAUCGCUUAAUCGUUCUCAUUGCCUGUUUCUUAGUUUUUACAAUCACUCGACCAACUUACUCGACCACACCCAGUGUCUGGCAACAGACUGUGCAGUCGAGUAUAGCUGUUUCAUAUCCUGUCUAUUACUCGACCUGUUACUCGACCACAUCCUACUUCUGGCAUCAGCCUGUUGUGGUCGAGUGAUUUUAGUAAUUCUGUUAUUGCUUCUGUUUUCUGCAUGUUCGCUUAGGACUGUUAGAAACCCCAAAACUGUUAUUGCUUAGCUUGACUUAGUGACUUCUGAUCACAUCUCAUCUGUUUGCAUCACACCCAUUUGGAUUGACACCUAAAAUACUACAACGACAUGAUUGGUGUUUUAGGAAUAAUUGACUAAAAACCUACUAUCACCAUCAAAGCCUUGAGAAGCAAGAAGAUGCUUGGUUAGUGUUUUGGAGUCAAAUAUUACUAGAUGUCAUGUCUAUGAGUGAGUAUGACAACUAGAACCAUAACCGGAUCUUAAAAACCUAUGUAUUGAAUUUUUGUUAGAAGAUACAAAGACAAAGACUCAUACGGACUUCGACUACACUAUCAAAGCUUUGAGAAGCAAGAAGAAGCUUGGUUAGUGUUUUGGAUUCGAAUAUGACUUGAUGUCAUGUGUAUGACUCAGUAUAAACACUAGAACCGCAACGGAUCUUAAAAGCAUAAGUAUUGUAUCAUUGUUAGAAGAUACAAUGACGAAGACUCAUACGGACUUCGACUACACCAUCAAAGCUUUGAGAAGCAAGAAGCAGUUGGUUAGUGUUUUGGAGUCGAAUAUGACUUGAUGGCAUGUGUAUGAGUGAGUAUAAAAACUAGAACCGCAACGGAUCUUAAAAGCCUAAAUAUUGUAUCCUUGUUAGAAGAUACAUAGACAAAGUCUCAUACGGAAUUCGGCUAAACCAUCAAAGCUUUUAGAAGCAAGAAGAAGGUUGGUUAGUGUUUUGGAGUGAAAUCUAACUAGAUGUCAUGUGUAUGAGUGAGUAUACCAACUAGAACCACAAUUGGAAUUUUAAAAGCCUAAGUAUUAUAUCCUUGUUAGAAGAUACAAAGACAAACACUCAUACGGACUUUGGCUACACCAUCAAAGCUUUGAGAAGCAAGAAGAAGCUUGGUUAGUGUUUUGGAGUCGAAUAUGACUUGAUGUGAUGUGUAUGAUUGAGUAUAAGAAAUUAAACCGCAACUGGAUCUUAAAAGCCUAAGUAUUGUUUCCUUGUUAGAAGAAACAAAGGCAAAGCCUCAUACAAACUUUAGCUUUACCAUCAAAGCCUUGAGAAGAAAGAAGAAGCUUGGUUAGUGUUUUGGAGUCAAAUAUUACUAGAUGUCAUGUGUAUGAGUGAGUAUGACAACUAGAACCAUAACCGCA
rnacentral:sRNA from 1 species